AAAGCUCGUCAUCUAGUGGAGGAAGGUGUGAAGUGUUGUUAUGAUCACCUGACUUUAUUUAUCUCCUGCUUCUGAAGCACAUCUAAAGCAAAGCUGCAGCUGGUUUUACUCAUGCUGCCGCCCCGCAGUCCCCCUGCUGCCGCCCCGCAGUCCCCCGGCUGAACAUCAGAGGCUGGAGUGAACCUGCAGAUGAGUAAAGUCACCUGUAGGUGCCGCUGUCCCGCCGCUGGACAUCGAGCAGCUUCAGCGAGCCGUCCUCCAUCACGGCCGUCCGGCCCACGUACUCCGGCGCCUUCUCCUUCACAAGCUCCUCGCCAUCGCGGAGAACGUGAACCGUGAGCGGGGACGCACUGUCGACCCGGGUCCACUCCACCGCCGUGACACGAGACACAGAAGAGGAGAGGCGACACGGUAGAACCACAUCCCCGCCGGCGGCUGCAGACACCCGGCCGUGGGGGGCGCUCUGCAGAGGCUUACCUGCAGAGACGGCGGCAACAAACUAAAUAUGAAACAUGUCCCAAACUAAAUAUGAAACAUGUCCCAGACUAAAUAUGAAACAUGUCCAGAACUAAAUAUGAAACAUGUCCCAGACUAAAUAUGAAACAUGUCCCAAACUAAAUAUGAAACAUGUUGUCCCAGACUAACAUGUCCCAAAC